rnacentral:rRNA from 1 species
GACAGAGGGUGCAAACGUUGUUCGGAAUUACUGGGCGUAAAGCGCGUGUAGGCUGCUUCGCAAGUCGGAUGUGAAAGCCCUGGGCUCAACCCAGGAAGUGCAUUCGAAACUGCAGAGCUGGAGUCCUGGAGAGGAAGGCGGAAUUCUCGGUGUAGAGGUGAAAUUCGUAGAUAUCGAGAGGAACACCGGUGGCGAAGGCGGCCUUCUGGACAGUGACUGACGCUGAGACGCGAAAACGUGGGGGAGCAAACAGG